rnacentral:rRNA from 1 species
UUUGGCGGCAAUAGCGCGGUGGUCCCACCUGACCCCAUGCCGAACUCAGAAGUGAAACGCCGUAGCGCCGAUGGUAGUGUGGGGUCUCCCCAUGUGAGAGUAGGGAACUGCCAGAC